AGACCGAUAGCGAACAAGUAGAGUGAUCGAAAGAUGAAAAGCACUUGGAAAGAGAGUCAAACAGCACGUGAAAUUGUUGAAAGGGAAGCGCUUGCAGCCAGACUUGCUUGCAGUUGCUCAUCCGGGCUUUUGCCCGGUGCACUCUUCUGCAGGCAGGCCAGCAUCAGUUUGGGCGGUGGGAUAAAGGUCUCUGUCAUGUACCUCUCUUCGGGGAGGCCUUAUAGGGGCAGGCGACAUACCACCAGCCUAGACUGAGGUCCGCGCAUCUGCUAGGAUGCUGGCGUAAUGGCUGUAAGCGGCCCGUCUUGAAACACGGACCAAG
rnacentral:rRNA from 1 species